GUAUUGAUUGCGUGUGACCGCAAAAACAAAACAUUCUAGACUGUAUCGAAUUUUGUGUGAAAACGUGAGCACCCCCCCCUCCGAGGAAGGGAGGACACACGCGGUGAUGCACAAAGGGGUAAGAUGGAUAUUUGUAUGUGAGAGGACUCGGGCGUGCACGACAAAAAAAAAAGCCAGCGACAACCCUCGUACCCCCAUUGUACGAUAAUGAUCCUUCCGCAGGUUCACCUACGGAAA
rnacentral:misc_RNA from 1 species